UGUGUCCCACUAUUAUAAAAUAAUCAAGAAAUCCAAACAGUUCCAUUAAGAUAGAGUUGGGGAAAGGGGCAGGAGGAGGGGGAACAAUUUAGUUUACAUGUGUACAGGAUUUGAAAUGGAAACAUUAGCCCUCAGUGCUUAACUACUAAAUGCAUGAUAACUGCUAAAUACCUGAAGGUCCAGAAAAGCAGCUAGUGCCUACAAUUUAGCUUAUGGUUAUGCUACCAAUAUUACACCAGCUCUUUGAGAUUAGGAAGUAUGUCAUACUUUUCAUAUUCCCUUCCAUUCUUAGAACUGUGCAAGACAUUCAGAAUGACUGCAUAAACAGGUUGACUUAAUUAGGAAGGCUACUGUCCUUACGCCCCUUUAACACUCACACGUAAGACAAUAUUUGCUAGCAUGUUUUAGCAUCAUGGAAUGCGCUGAAAGGCUCUGAUUAAGGUAAAUACCAGUCAAGAUAGCACUUUAACCAUCUCUGGAAAGUAUUAUCUUAAUCCUAGGGAAAACAAUGUAAGGAAGAUGAUUCAAAAUACUUUCAUAAAAUUCAUUUUAAAAGCAAUUUUCCACACUUCACCAUUUAGACUUAAACACCAAAAACAAAUCUCACUUAAAUUACUAUAUUAAAAUUCUGGGUUUAAUAAAAAACUGAAAGGAAACUCAAUUUACUGUAAAAAUAAAUGGACCUGAAGUCCAAGACAAGUGAAGAUCAAGAUGCAGUACCCUUUAUCAGGAGGGGAUUACAAAGUUCUGGAGUCUGUGAACUUGGCAUUGAUCCUCCCCAAUGUUUUAAAUGGGAAAAUU